AGCUUUGCGCAGUGGCAGUAUCAUAGCCAAUGAGGUUUAUCCGAGGCGCGAUUAUUGCUAAUUAAAAUAUAUUGUGGAUGGAUUUUCUUAUUCUGCACUCAUUUCACAUCCUAUUUCUCAAGACUUUUUUUUUUUUAAAUAAA